UGGUUGUUUAUCGAAAUUUUUGCUAGUUGAAAUACAAAAUUUUUGUUUAAAUAUUAGUGCGAAAGAAUAAGGUCUGCAAAAAAGAAAAAAUGGUCUGUUUAUUAGAAAAAUAAGCGAAAGUUGUUUAAUGUUUAUACCUUUCAGUGCGCUUUUUCCAUUAGUAUAACUUAUUUUUCGUUUUCAACCCUCUUCUAUCGUUUUGAAAUUUUUUUUAUAUUAAUCGUACCAUCAUCAUUCUCUACUCGUUUCUUGAUGUUUUCGGCAAUGACAUACAUUUGAUUAUACAGCCAAACCCAGUGAAAUUGUGUUGGAGUGCAAAAUGUAUUACGACACGAUAUACUAUGCAAUUUUUUUUACCAACCGCGUAUAACGCAUACGGCGUAAUAAGCCGUUACCAUAUCGUUAUUUAAAAGUUUUAAUUAGAAAACAGCGUAAUAUAACGGAUAUGCACAAAAUGCGUUAGCAUUGAAAGCUAAUGAGGUCUUGUGUCUCCACACUCGAAAUUGCGGGGCUUGACUAAAUUCAAGAACAACAAAGAGAAAUGCCUGCUACAUAAGGGAUUUUGCCUGUGAAAUGUGCGCAGCAGAUAAAUGUAGAUCACGGAAAAAAUUUAAAGUAGCACUUGGAUAGUAUGAUGCGUUUACAAGGAAGUUGCUCAAACAGCAGAAUGUCUGGCUGUAAACAGGAAAAUGUCGCAGGGGGCGAAGUGAUAAAACUCAGGGUUUCAUGAAGUAAAAAGUUUUGAAAUUUUUUACUAAGGUCCAGAGUUGGCUGUUUUUGUAAAUUUUUAAUCAAGUUUGCAUGAUUGCUAAGUAAAAGUUGAAUGUCCUAAUUUGCUCGUCCGAAUGUGCUCUUUUUUUUUUUUCAGCGCACUCGUUAGACAGAUAAAGUGAAUGUUUUGCUAGGCCAUUUUCUCGUUCUAUUUUGCCUCGAUUGAAACGUGGUAUGUUUGCAGCUAAAAGGUAUGUACAGUUAAGCCCAGUGGAGACAAAGAUGAAAAGGAAGUAAAGCGAACUAUGAAGCGAAACUAUAAAGCAAAAACAGCUAGGUCGGGGAAAAUUUCUACAAGAAUUGCUUAAGUUCUAAAAAUUUAAGUG